CUUCUCUAAAGUUCUACCUAGUAUAUAAAUGAGUAUGUAGCUCAGCUUUGGAAGAAGCACACGUGACAACAAUGUUGCGCUAAUUUGGCGACCGGAACUGAAAUUACAGAAAAUGGUUGGAAAAAUCUCAUGCUCAUCAUUGAAGUCAAACAAACGACAGCGGCAAGGUUAUCCAAUUGUUGAAGUCAAACCAUAUGCCCAUCCAUAACUGGCAUGUGGCAGAGUGAAGGGUUUGCUAAGUCGUGUGUAAAUAGCGAGGGUGUGUACUUAUGGUGGCUUAAAAAUGGUGUCCGACAAUUCCUAGCUAUGCUCAACAUGACACUUGCCUACACCAACAAAUUAACCAGUUAUUUGUGUUUGUUCAAUCAAGCGGUUGAUUACCGCCACAUGAGGCAAGUAAUCGGAAGACUUUAAAAAAAAGGAGUAGUGCAAAUAUUUGCAAAUAUUAUAUAUUAUUAAAAGUAAGCAUUUUUUCAAAAGGUCCGAAUAAGCAAGAUUCUUGUUGGUAAUGUAUGGAAGCAUGGAGUAGUCCUGUUCGACCGAUUUUGUUUAAACCAACAAAUCAUCGCUUUUAUCAAGUCACUGAGGGUAAGUGAUAGUGUCAUUUGCUGAUCCCCAAGAUGGGCAGCUCAAUUGAACUUCUGGAGAUACAUGCUUUGGAAUUCCAGAACACGCCUGUAGUUUGAUCCUUGCCUCAAAUCAUUACAAGCCUGCUAAUGUGUUUUAUUUCUCUUUCCGCUAAAUCAUCUGGUUGGCUGAAGAUACGGCUAUUGGACAGUGACUAGUUGAAAACUUUAUAAUUGGGGAAAGGCGAAUCUUGCUGUGGGUGAAAAGCGUACUAAACAAAUUGCGCUCGCCAAGUCCACUUGUGAUGCAGUUAUUCAAUACUAAAACACAACUUUGGACUUCCAGUGAGACUUAUGAAUUUCAUUGAAAGGAAUAGUACUCAAGAAGCCUAAGCAAUAUCUUUGAUGUAACCUACACGCACCAAUUUGAAAACGCUCAGGAUCCUCAGUGAAGAAGAGAAUGAAUCUUGUGGUCUAACUAGCCCAACUGGAAAGUUUUAUUGCUGAGUACGGAGAUUGUUUAAUUAAUUUUAGGCUCAUACAUUAUAUUUUUCUGCAUACCUACACAGGAAGAACCCGUAAAAAUUACCGGUAUUAUUUAAAACAAAUGAAGUGUUAUAAAUUUUGAAGCCACCAUAGAUAUCAGGCAGCAACCUCCUGAUAACUCCGUAAUUUUGAAGGUUUUGACUUAUGGAGCGUAGCUAGAAGAAAUUCGAAGGUAUCGUCCGCAGAGAAACAGCUGAAAGAAUUCCGCAAAAAAAAAAUGCAAAUUCCUAUAUUUUAUUUCAUCACCCGUUAAUGCCACACAUCAUCGAAUCCUUGCUAAAUGGAAAUGUAUUGAGCAAUCUUGGUUUCAGUAGAAUAGCAGAGCGCUUCGCUCAAUACAAUUGGCAGCCUCGCAUCAGCGAUUUGAAGGCUUCGAUUUGGGUGUCGCGAAAUUGGAUAAAAAUAGAACAGUCUGUGAACAAUUCAGCACCUUAAAAGGGUAUUCUAGUAGAGACAUGAAUUUUAGGUAAUUCUUAAAGUGCCGUAAAAAAAAGGCAAUCAAUAUUUUUACUAUCGAGUUCAGUUAUUUAUUAAUGUUACAAGAGUAAAGAAAUAAAAAAAUAAUUUAAAAAAGUGGC